AUUAGAUACCCGUCUAUUCAUGGCAUAAAUUACAGUUGAGUAUUACGAACAACAGUUUAAAAUUCAAAGAUUUUGGCGGUGUCUUAUAAAACCAGGGGAACCUGUCUCAUAACUCGAUAAUCCACGUAUACCAAACCUUCUAUUGAAACCCAGCAUGUGUACUGCCGUUGUAAGCACACCUUUAAAAGAGCAGUAUGCUACUAUGAUUAAAUACUAACUCACAUACAUCAGGUCAAAGUGCAGCUAAUAAGAAGGUGAUGAUGGGUUACAACCCCAAAACAGACUAUAGACUAAGAAAUAAAAAAUCUUAAGAAAGUGGACUUGGCCGUAAUCAAUUUUAAAUUAAAGAAAUGAAUUCUACCUAAGACAUGUACACAUCGCCCGUCACUCUAUCCUAAAGGUUAGAUAAGUCGUAAC
rnacentral:rRNA from 1 species